UACGACCACAUUAAAUUGAAACACCGGUUCUCGUCCGAUCACCGAAGUUAAGCAACGUUGAGCCUGGCUAGUACCUAUAUGGGUGACGGUUUAGGAAUACCACAUGAUGUAAG